rnacentral:rRNA from 1 species
UACAGAGGUCCCGAGCGUUGUUCGGAUUCAUUGGGCGUAAAGGGUGCGUAGGUGGCGCUGUAAGUGGGGUGUGAAAUCCCGGGGCUUAACCCCGGGACUGCAUUCCAUACUGCGGUGCUUGAGGACUGGAGAGGAGACUGGAAUUUACGGUGUAGCGGUGAAAUGCGUAGAUAUCGUAAGGAAGACCAGUGGCGAAGGCGGGUCUCUGGACAGUUCCUGACACUGAGACACGAAGGCCAGGGGAGCAAACGGG